rnacentral:tRNA from 2 species
GCCGGCGUGGCGAAAUGGUAGACGCAAGGGACUUAAAAUCCCUCGGAGGGAAACCUCUGUCCCGGUUCGAGUCCGGGCGCCGGCACCA